GAUGAACGCUAGCUACAGGCUUAACACAUGCAAGUCGAGGGACCGGCGCACGGGUGAGUCACACGUAUCCAACCUGCCCUUUACUCGGGGAUAGCCUUUCGAAAGAAAGAUUAAUACCCGAUAUAAAGGAUGGGGAUGCGUUCCAUUAGGUUGUUGGUGAGGUAACGGCUCACCAAGCCUUCGAUGGAUAGGGGUUCUGAGAGGAAGGUACCCGACAUUGGAACUGGGACACGGUCCACACUCGUACGGGAGGCAGCGGUGAGGAAGAUAGGGAAAGAGGCGCUAGCCUGAACCAGCCAAGUAGCUGGAAGGAUGAAGGGUUAUGGGGCGUAAACUACUUGUAUAAAAGAAUAGGUAUUAUAUGAAUAAGGAUCGGCUAACUCCGUGCCAGCAGCCGCGGUAAUUC
rnacentral:rRNA from 1 species